rnacentral:tRNA from 1 species
GGGGGUGUAACUCAGUGGUAGAGCAUGUGCUUAGCAUGCAUGAGGCUCUGUGUUCAAUUCCCAGCACCAGUA